UCCUGGCCCUUGGGAUAAAUAAGGGGCCCAAGCUAGUUGGGAUCGAGGGGGGGAGCUCCUCCAACCCUGUGGCCCCAGAGAUCCGGGCCCCUUAUGUUGAAGGGAGAAGGCCCAAGCCAACAGCCACAUGACGAUGAUGAUGACGAUGAUGACUAUGACGAUGAUGAAACACUUAGCCGGUCGAAACCGAACCUCGGUCUUCCCCAGCUGGCAAGAGGACUCUGCUGGACGAAGUGAAGUGAGGAGCCGUUCCCUUUUACCCACCAUAACCUGCAUAGUUGAUUGCACUGACACAUUAAGUCAUCAUAGGACUUCCGUGCAAUUUAUAAGCAGUAUCUCCUCCAUGCAACAGAGUAUAAGAGGCUACAGAUAAAGAAGAUUAAACGAGAUCAGGAUGAUAGAAAAGAACAUUUAAUGUUCCGUUCGGUCUCCACAGCCUGACCUGCGUGACCCACCAACAUAGCAUUCAAAGGUUUCAACAUGUCUACUACUAUGUCCUGUCUCUAUUGUGUGGAAAAAUAUUCAUUUCAUUCAGUGACAUUAACACUUGUGUGGCUCUAUUUAGCACCCAAAGCACUUCAGUUCAUGCCUAAAUAGCAAAUGCUAUUACUUUCAGACCUAUUUUGUUGUGUCAUAUUUCCUCGGUCAGAGACACUGAACUUUGGUCUUGAUUGAUUUCACCUGCAGUAAAUUGUAGGAAAAAGAAAAAUUCUAAAAAUGGAUUUAAGAAUGGCGCUCUUCAGAUUAAGCAAAAUGUGCGUCCCUAUAGAGGUCCCUCAUGGCCCUCCCAUCCAUGUCCUCUGGCAUGGGAUUGGGCUCCUCCCAUCUCUCCUCCAGUGUGACGUCCAGGAGCCUCUCCCUGCGGAUGGUUGCGAUAUUAUGGAGGAUGGCACAGGCCACCGUGAUAUCGCAGGCACGUUCUGGAGCAAUGCUCGGGUAUUUCAGACACUGGAACCUGUCGGUAUUGGAGUAAAAAGACAUUUCAAACUGUAGGGUUGUCUGAGCAGUAUUGUAGUUUGAAGACGAUUAUCUAAAUAUGAGGCUGAACCUGGACUUUAGUUCUCAAUUUGUGCCCUGGUGGAAUUGAGGGCACCGUUAAAGGCCUCCUCUGCCUCAGUCCCUGGAUCGCUGUAUGGCGUUAAAUGGUAAGGACAGGGAUAACCCCUGUCUCCAAGGAGGAUACCUUCAAACUCCCCUGCAGGGUGAGAAAGGAAUGGAUGUCAUGUACUUGACAUGACACAUUGAAACAUAAUGAAUGUUCAUUUUGAGAUAUUCUCUUACUUUGAGCAAGCCUCUGUGCCACUGAGCUUGCCCUGAAGAUUCUGGCAUCAUGUACCCCCCCCAGGCCAUUUUGCCUCGAUGUUUGUGUUUAAAUAAUUGGCAUCACAGAUCAUCUGUCAGCAUGAAGGGUAACAAUCAGUUAUGCUUGAGACUACUGUUGGGACAAUCGUGGCUUCAGUAGUAGCCUACAUACCUGUACAUUCAGACUGUGGUGAUCUCUCCGGUCCACAUAAUCUCUUUCCACUGGUCCGGAUGGGGCCACCAUUCUCACAUGGCUGCAAUCAACACAGCCAAGGACAUUGAGGAAGCCUAUGUGGAAAAAUGAAGGUACAACAUCAUCAACCUGUGGGCCACUUUCCAUCAAAUGCAUUUGAAUGUCACAAACCU